CUAGGGAAGAGAGGAGAAAAGAGGUCACUCUGUGCCAAUGUAUACUACUGUCAACAAACUGGGGUUUGCAGGUUUACAACUAGCUUGAGUCUCAGCCUAGACCACUCAUAAUCAAAUCUUUAUCUUCUAACAGCUCCUUAGUGGCUUCUUGGUGAAGUGGAUUACGGCACGGAGACCGGUUCCUACAAAGACAGGUGAGCUGAAAAUGGGUUCUAAGGAAGCGGGCACCAAAUGAUGGCUCUGUUGGAACACAGAUUUUGAAAAUAAGAUCGUGCUGGCACAAACCUGAGGCUGAGAGAGGGAGCUUUUUCUCCCAGACAUCACCAACCUCAUCGCAAUUCCCCGGCUGCGUGACCUGUGCUCGAAAUCCGAGGCCCAAUGGAGACCGAGUUUUUGGUAAUUUGAAAAACAGCUAACGAGGCAGCCGUUUACAGAGGUGGGUAGUCUCUGUUCUAGCAGAUAACUGAAGUGCCUAAUUCUACUUUUUUUUGAAAAGCAAACUUCCUUAGAUGUUUUCCUCAGCCAGACCUGAAGGGAAGGAGAGUCCACCCCAAAAUCUGUCAACAAAAUGUCACCCUUCUAUCUUGGGAAAUACGGAAGAUAUUGCAGAGAGUGAUGAGCAGUACGUUAGCAGUGGAAUGAGCAGUGCAUUAACCUGGGUCUUCACACUGGGAAUCGAAAAGUGAUCAAUAGCCUAAAUCCUAGGGACAGGAAGCAGAAGGCCUGCUUACCAAUAGCUUCCCUGCUAAGGGCUCUGGAGGCUCUUAUGUAAUCUUAAUAGGACAUCGGGGCAAACUGCCCUCCCUAAACAGCAGACAGCUGGGAGCUCACUUUAUGCAGCCACAU